UACGUAGGGUGCAAGCGUUGUCCGGAAUUAUUGGGCGUAAAGAGCUCGUAGGCGGUGUGUCACGUCGGCCGUGAAAACCUGCAGCUUAACUGUGGGCGUGCGGUCGAUACGGGCAUCACUGGAGUUCGGCAGGGGAGACUGGAAUUCCUGGUGUAGCGGUGAAAUGCGCAGAUAUCAGGAGGAACACCGGUGGCGAAGGCGGGUCUCUGGGCCGAUACUGGCGCUGAGGAGCGAAAGCGUGGGGAGCAAACAGG
rnacentral:rRNA from 1 species